UGGGGGAUAUUGCACAAUGGGCGAAAGCCUGAUGCAGCGACGCCGCGUGGGGGAUGAAGGCCUUCGGGUUGUAAACUUCUUUUGCUCUGAACAAGGCGCACCAUGGGGUGUGUUGAGUGUAGGGGUUGAUUAGCGCCGGCUAACUACUUGCCAGCAGCCGCGGUAAUACGUAGGGCGCGAGCGUUGUCCGGAAUUAUUGGGCGUAAAGGGCUUGUAGGUGGCUGGUUGCGUCUGUCGUGAAAGAUCAUGGCUUAACUGUGGGUUUGCGGUGGGGACGGUGUGGGUUGAGUGCAGUAGGGGAGGCUGGAAUUCCUGGUGUAGCGGUGGAAUGCGCAGAUAUCAGGAGGAAUACCGGUGGCGAAGGCGGGUCUCUGGGCUGUUACUGACACUGAGGAGCGAAAGCAUGGGGAGCGAACAGG
rnacentral:rRNA from 1 species